rnacentral:rRNA from 1 species
UACGUAGGGGGCAAGCGUUGUCCGGAUUCAUUGGGCGUAAAGCGCACGUAGGCGGAUCGUUAAGUCAGGGGUGAAAUCCUGGAGCUCAACUCCAGAACUGCCUUUGAUACUGGCGACCUUGAGUUCGGGAGAGGUGAGUGGAACUGCGAGUGUAGAGGUGAAAUUCGUAGAUAUUCGCAAGAACACCAGUGGCGAAGGCGGCUCACUGGCCCGAUACUGACGCUGAGGUGCGAAAGCGUGGGGAGCAAACAGG